rnacentral:rRNA from 1 species
CAGCCGCCGCGGGAAUACGAAGGGUGCAAGCGUUACUCGGAAUUACUGGGCGUAAAGCGUGCGUAGGCGGCUUGGUAAGUUAGAGGUGAAAGCCCGGAGCUCAACUCCGGAAUUGCCUUUAAGACUGCCGAGCUAGCAGGUGAGAGAGGUAAGUGGAAUUCCGAGUGUAGAGGUGAAAUUCGUAGAUAUCAGGAGGAACACCUGUGGCGAAAGCGGCUCACUGGACCAUAACUGACGCUGAGGCACGAAAGCUAGGGGAGCAAACAGGAUUAGAUACCCCUGUAGUCCCUGUCUCUUAUAC